UGGGGAAUCUUGCGCAAUGGGCGAAAGCCUGACGCAGCGACGCCGCGUGAGGGAGGAAGGCCUUCGGGUUGUAAACCUCUUUCAGGAGGGACGAAGCUACUCGGGUGAAUAGCCCAGAGGGUGACGGUACCUCCAGAAGAAGCCCCGGCUCACUACGUGCCAGCAGCCGCGGUAAUACGUAGGGGGCAAGCGUUGUCCGGAUUUACUGGGCGUAAAGCGCGUGUAGGCGGCCACGCAGGUCCGUUGUGAAAACUGGAGGCUCAACUUCCAGACGUCGACGGAAACCGUGUGGCUAGAGUCCGGAAGAGGAGAGUGGAAUUCCUGGUGUAGCGGUGAAAUGCGCAGAUAUCAGGAAGAACACCAAUGGCGAAGGCAGCUCUCUGGGACGGUACUGACGCUGAGACGCGAAAGCGUGGGGAGCGAAC
rnacentral:rRNA from 1 species